GCCACUAUAGCUCAGCUAGGUAGAGCACUUCCAUGGUAAGGAAGGGGUCAUCGGUUCAAGUCCGAUUAGUGGCUUCA
rnacentral:tRNA from 2 species